AGAGUUUGAUCCUGGCUCAGAACGAACGCUGGCGGCAGGCUUAACACAUGCAAGUCGAGCGCGUAGCAAUACGAGCGGCAGACGGGUGAGUAACGCGUGGGAAUCUACCUUUUGCUACGGAAUAACUCAGGGAAACUUGAGCUAAUACCGUAUGUGCCCUUUGGGGGAAAGAUUUAUCGGCAAAGGAUGAGCCCGCGUUGGAUUAGGUAGUUGGUGGGGUAAUGGCCUACCAAGCCGACGAUCCAUAGCUGGUCUGAGAGGAUGAUCAGCCACAUUGGGACUGAGACACGGCCCAAACUCCUACGGGAGGCAGCAGUGGGGAAUAUUGGACAAUGGGCGCAAGCCUGAUCCAGCCAUGCCGCGUGAGUGAUGAAGGCCCUAGGGUUGUAAAGCUCUUUCACCGGUGAAGAUAAUGACGGUAACCGGAGAAGAAGCCCCGGCUAACUUCGUGCCAGCAGCCGCGGUAAUACGAAGGGGGCUAGCGUUGUUCGGAAUUACUGGGCGUAAAGCGCACGUAGGCGGACAUUUAAGUCAGGGGUGAAAUCCCGGGGCUCAACCCCGGAACUGCCUUUGAUACUGGGUGUCUUGAGUUCGAGAGAGGUGAGUGGAAUUCCGAGUGUAGAGGUGAAAUUCGUAGAUAUUCGGAGGAACACCAGUGGCGAAGGCGGCUCACUGGCUCGAUACUGACGCUGAGGUGCGAAAGCGUGGGGAGCAAACAGGAUUAGAUACCCUAGUAGUCC
rnacentral:rRNA from 1 species